CGAAGUGAAACAUAUAUAUCCCUUUCCUAUAUAUAUGUGUAUUUCAGGGUCGUAUUAUAUAAGAUAAAUGAGCAUCAGCCAUCCUUAUUCAUUUUUAAUAUAUAACACACUUAGUCGGGGAAACUUUUCUAACGCUGAAGUAGGAGAAAGCUCUUCGCUCGUGCUACUCGCCUGUCAAGUCUCUAUUGAAUGACAACAUAGCUAACCAUCUUCAACCUGGAAUUUUUGAACUAGAAAUGGCCAACUAUGACUUCACGCACUAACAACUGUGUCCUCUAAUGACGAGAUCACUACGCCUGCGUUGACGGUUCAAGACGAAAACAGAGGAAGAGUAACAGGAGGUGUUCACCCGCAUGUGCUCUCCUGCCCAACCAAGACGAAACACCAACUGCUAACAAGUAGUGGCUCCACGUCAUCAAUAUCAUCGCUCCGAAUUUCACAAUCUGUUCAGAUGUUGAAACUUAAGAAUAAUCACCGGAAAAGAUAAAGUAAGUUUUACAUGUUGCAUGAUGUAUAAAGUAUGUUUUCUACAUGUUGCAUGAUGUAUAAAGUAAGUUUUACAUGUUGCAUGAUGUAUAAAGUAUGUUUUCUACAUGUUGCAUGAUGUAUAAAGUAAGUUUUCU
rnacentral:lncRNA from 1 species